GACGAACGCUGGCGGCGUGCCUAACACAUGCAAGUCGAGCGGGGUUGAAGCGAGAGGUAACUCGAGCUUCUACCUAGCGGCGGACGGGUGAGUAACGCGUGGGCAACCUGCCUCAAGGUUUGGGAUAACAGCCCGAAAGGGCUGCUAAUACCGGAUAUGCCUAUGGCCUCGCAUGGGGCUAUGAGCAAAGGGGAAACCCGCCUUGAGAUGGGCCCGCGUCCCAUCAGCUAGUUGGUGAGGUAACAGCUCACCAAGGCGACGACGGGUAGCCGGCCUGAGAGGGUGACCGGCCACACUGGGACUGAGACACGGCCCAGACUCCUACGGGGGGCAGCAGUGGGGGAUCUUGCACAAUGGGCGAAAGCCUGAUGCAGCGACGCCGCGUGAGCGAAGAAGGCCUUCGGGUUGUAAGACUCUGUCUGGAGGGACGGAACAAAAUAGACGGUACCGUCCGGACGGAAGCCACGGCUAACUACGUCGCCACGCAGCCGCGGUAAUAUCACGUGUACG
rnacentral:rRNA from 1 species